rnacentral:rRNA from 1 species
UACGGAGGGGGCUAGCGUUGUUCGGAAUUAUUGGGCGUAAAGGGCGCGUAGGCGGCUUGGCAAGUGGAUGGUGAAAUCCCUCGGCUUAACCGAGGAACUGCCGUCCAAACUGCUUGGCUUGAGACCGGGAGAGGUGAGUGGAAUUCCCAGUGUAGCGGUGAAAUGCGUAGAUAUUGGGAGGAACACCAGUGGCGAAGGCGGCUCACUGGACCGGUACUGACGCUGAUGCGCGAAAGCGUGGGGAGCAAACGGG